AUUGAACGCUGGCGGCAUGCCUUACACAUGCAAGUCGAACGGUAACGGGCCUUCGGGUGCCGACGAGUGGCGAACGGGUGAGUAAUGUAUCGGAACGUACCUUUCAGUGGGGGAUAACGUAGCGAAAGUUACGCUAAUACCGCAUAUUCUGUGCGCAGGAAAGCAGGGGAUCGCAAGACCCUGCGCUGAUUGAGCGACCGAUAUCAGAUUAGCUAGUUGGUGAGGUAAAGGCUCACCAAGGCGACGAUCUGUAGCGGGUCUGAGAGGAUGAUCCGCCACACUGGAACUGAGACACGGUCCAGACUCCUACGGGAGGCAGCAGUGGGGAAUUUUGGACAAUGGGCGCAAGCCUGAUCCAGCCAUGCCGCGUGAGUGAAGAAGGCCUUCGGGUUGUAAAGCUCUUUCGGCCGGGAAGAAAUCGUAUGGGUUAAUACCCUGUGCGGAUGACGGUACCGGCAUAAGAAGCACCGGCUAACUACGUGCCAGCCGCCGCGGUAAUAC
rnacentral:rRNA from 1 species